rnacentral:rRNA from 1 species
UACGGAGGGUGCGAGCGUUGUUCGGAAUUACUGGGCGUAAAGGGCGCGUAGGCGGCCUUCUAAGUCAGACGUGAAAUCCCUCGGCUCAACCGAGGAACUGCGUCUGAUACUGGAAGGCUUGAAUCCGGGAGAGGGAUGUGGAAUUCCAGGUGUAGCGGUGAAAUGCGUAGAUAUCUGGAGGAACACCGGUGGCGAAGGCGGCAUCCUGGACCGGUAUUGACGCUGAGGCGCGAAAGCUAGGGGAGCAAACGGG